UGUGUAAAAUAUUUAAAAAAUAUUUUAUUUACGUGGCUCCGACGUGGCGCUGAUGUGUCAGCGAAUGUGAUGCACUCUCCCUCAUGAGAGUGGUAUUAUAUAUUAAGGGGUGAAAUUAAUUCACUUUAAAGAUGUUUAGGGGGUAAAUAAUUAUUCAUAAAGUUUAAAUGAUAAACUAAGUUGUCGGGACAAGUUCAGGGG
rnacentral:lncRNA from 1 species